rnacentral:rRNA from 1 species
GACGGGGGAUGCAAGUGUUAUCCGGAAUCACUGGGCGUAAAGCGUCUGUAGGUGGUCAAAUAAGUCAACUGUUAAAUCUUGAGGCUCAACCUCAAAAUCGCAGUCGAAACUAUUAGACUAGAGUAUAGUAGGGGUAAAGGGAAUUUCCAGUGGAGCGGUGAAAUGCGUAGAUAUUGGAAAGAACACCGAUGGCGAAGGCACUUUACUGGGCUAUUACUAACACUCAGAGACGAAAGCUAGGGUAGCAAAUGGGG